rnacentral:rRNA from 1 species
AGUCGACGAACAAUUUGGCGGAAGUUUUCGGAUGGAAGCUAGAUUGACUGAGUGGCGGACGGGUGAGUAACGCGUGGGUAACCUGCCUCACACUGGGGGACAACAGUUAGAAAUGACUGCUAAUACCGCAUAAGCGCACAGGACCGCAUGGUCCUGUGUGAAAAACUCCGGUGGUGUGAGAUGGACCCGCGUUUGAUUAGCUAGUUGGUGGGGUAACGGCCUACCAAGGCGACGAUCAAUAGCCGACCUGAGAGGGUGACCGGCCACAUUGGGACUGAGACACGGCCCAAACUCCUACGGGAGGCAGCAGUGGGGAAUAUUGCACAAUGGGGGAAACCCUGAUGCAGCGACGCCGCGUGAGUGAAGAAGUAUUUCGGUAUGUAAAGCUCUAUCAGCAGGGAAGAAAAUGACGGUACCUGACUAAGAAGCCCCGGCUAACUACGUGCCAGCAGCCGCGGUAAUACGUAGGGGGCAAGCGUUAUCCGGAUUUACUGGGUGUAAAGGGAGCGUAGACGGUAAAGCAAGUCUGAAGUGAAAGCCCGGGGCUCAACCCCGGGACUGCUUUGGAAACUGUUUAACUAGAGUGCUGGAGAGGUAAGCGGAAUUCCUAGUGUAGCGGUGAAAUGCGUAGAUAUUCGGAGGAACACCAGUGGCGAAGGCGGCUUACUGGACAGUAACUGACGUUGAGGCUCGAAAGCGUGNGGAGCAAACAGGAUUANAUACCCUGGUAGUCCACGCUGUAAACGAUGAAUACUAG